UUGUCAACCAAAUCAACUAAGUAUAAAAUUUCGGCUGCGGAAACGUGGAUGUCGCAGAAGGCCUUUGGUGAAUCUAUCAUGUCGCAAAGACUUAAAAAAAAGUUCGAAACGUGUUGAUAACAUUUAGCGUUACCAUCGAAGGAAUUUGUGUUCAAAAAUCGUCGGUUGACUGUACCAAAAUGCAUAUCCUUCGGCAACCAUCUUAACUGUAACUUCUGUCUAAUCCUAAAUGUCAAGAAACCACUCCGGGGAUCGCGCUUCGAGACGAUGAAAGCUGAAUCGAAGAAGGCGUUUUACAAUUCUAUACAAUUAAAUACAUUUCCUGAUGUUAGAAUGUUCUAAUAUCUUCUGCCCCAUAGUAAGAUGGUAUACAACAAGUCAGAAAGAUACGGUCGAGUGUGCUAGACUAUGGUAUACCCGUUACCCAUUUUGAAAAAUUAUUUGCAUUUGCAAAUUAUUGCGGUAUUAAUUUUAAUCAAGAAUAUAUAUUACUUAUGGGGUUAGAGAUGCCUCAUUCUGAUUGUCACAUA